rnacentral:rRNA from 2 species
AGCAGUAGGGAAUCUUCCACAAUGGGCGCAAGCCUGAUGGAGCAACACCGCGUGAGUGAAGAAGGGUUUCGGCUCGUAAAGCUCUGUUGUUGGAGAAGAACGUGCGUGAGAGUAAUUGUUCACGCAGUGACGGUAUCCAACCAGAAAGUCACGGCUAACUACGUGCCAGCAGCCGCGGUAAUACGUAGGUGGCAAGCGUUAUCCGGAUUUAUUGGGCGUAAAGCGAGCGCAGGCGGUUGCUUAGGUCUGAUGUGAAAGCCUUCGGCUUAACCGAAGAAGUGCAUCGGAAACCGGGCGACUUGAGUGCAGAAGAGGACAGUGGAACUCCAUGUGUAGCGGUGGAAU